rnacentral:sRNA from 1 species
UACUCCAUCCGUGGCCUUUCGGCUUUAGGCUCCCCCCAGUGUCACGGGCAUCCAGACAGGAUCCAGUGCAUCCUCUUUCAGAAGAAAGGCCUGUCUCCAGAUCCCCAAGUCCCUCUAGCGUCUCCCAGAAGGUGUCAGACGCUGCAGUGUCCAGGGAGUGGCAGCAGGUCCUUAUCAUUGUCCAAGGGUCCCUCCCAGCCUCCAAGUCUCACCCCAUCCAUGAAAAAAGGUGACCCCGGUUUCCCGCCACCUCCUCCACAGCACCAUCUCUUUGAAGGUUUCCUCCUGUUUUUGUUUUUGUUGUUGUUGUUGUUUUUGAGACAGUGUCUCGCUCUGCUGCCCAGGCUG